AACGUAGGAGACAAACGUUAUCCGGAGUUACUGGGCGUAAAGGGCGUGUAGGUGGUUUCGUAAGUCUGGCGUGAAAUUUUUCGGCUUAACCGGGAAAGGUCGUCGGAUACUGCGAGGCUAGAGGACGGUAGAGGCGUGUGGAAUUCCGGGUGUAGUGGUGAAAUGCGUAGAGAUCCGGAGGAACACCAGUGGCGAAGGCGACACGCUGGGCCGUACCUGACACUGAUGCGCGACAGCAUGGGGAGCAAACAGG
rnacentral:rRNA from 1 species